AGGCGGUUUCUUAAGUCUGAUGUGAAAGCCCCCGGCUCAACCGGGGAGGGUCAUUGGAAACUGGGAAACUUGAGUGCAGAAGAGGAGAGUGGAAUUCCACGUGUAGCGGUGAAAUGCGUAGAGAUGUGGAGGAACACCAGUGGCGAAGGCGACUCUCUGGUCUGUAACUGACGCUGAGGAGCGAAAGCGUGGGGAGCGAACAGGAUUAGAUACCCUGGUAGUCCACGCCGUAAACGAUGAGUGCUAAGUGUUAGGGGGUUUCCGCCCCUUAGUGCUGCAGCUAACGCAUUAAGCACUCCGCCUGGGGAGUACGGUCGCAAGACUGAAACUCAAAGGAAUUGACGGGGGCCCGCACAAGCGGUGGAGCAUGUGGUUUAAUUCGAAGCAACGCGAAGAACCUUACCAGGUCUUGACAUCCUCUGACAACCCUAGAGAUAGGGCUUUCCCUUCGGGGACAGAGUGACAGGUGGUGCAUGGUUGUCGUCAGCUCGUGUCGUGAGAUGUUGGGUUAAGUCCCGCAACGAGCGCAACCCUUGAUCUUAGUUGCCAGCAUUCAGUUGGGCACUCUAAGGUGACUGCCGGUGACAAACCGGAGGAAGGUGGGGAUGACGUCAAAUCAUCAUGCCCCUUAUGACCUGGGCUACACACGUGCUACAAUGGACAGAACAAAGGGCUGCGAGACCGCAAGGUUUAGCCAAUCCCACAAAUCUGUUCUCAGUUCGGAUCGCAGUCUGCAACUCGACUGCGUGAAGCUGGAAUCGCUAGUAAUCGCGGAUCAGCAUGCCGCGGUGAAUACGUUC
rnacentral:rRNA from 1 species